AUGGCUUUCUCAAGAGGCUUUACAAAAACAAAUAUAUUAAAUUUCAGAAACAAAGUUUUACUGCAGCUUGCUGAAUCGCCACUAGCACUAGAUGCCUUCUCAAAACUAUAUAUAAAACCUUAUCCAAGGCGGGAGGGAAUGAUGAGAGGGAAACAGAAUGCUUACAAUUUAACCACAGACUUAUAUUUGCAAACUCUUCGAUUAAUCAUAUUCUAA